rnacentral:rRNA from 1 species
GACGAAUGCUGGCGGCGUGCUUAACACAUGCAAGUCGAACGAAGUGGCGAACGGGUGAGUAACGCGUAAUCAACCUGCCCUUCAGAGGGGGACAACAGUUGGAAACGACUGCUAAUACCGCAUACUGAGGGAGGGGAUUGCGUCGGAUUAGCUGGGUGGAGGGGUAACGGCCACCCAAGGCGAUGAUAAGUAGCCGGUCGGGGAGGAGGAACGGCAACAUUGGGACUGAGACACGGCCCAGACUCCGACGGGAGGCAGCAGUGGGGAAUCUGCCGCAAUGGACGAAAGUCUGACGGAGCAACGCCGCGUGAGUGAGGACGGCCUUCGGGUUGUAAAGCUCUGUUAAUCGGGACGCGGUACCGGAAUAGAAAGCCACGGCUAACUACGUGCCAGCAGCCGCGGUAAUUC